AGUUUGUGGUGUUUGUUGAACUUGAGUUUGUGUCGUGUUUGCACUUGAGUUUUGGUCUUGAUUUUGUGUGUAUGUUGAACUUGAGUUUGUGGUGUUUUUGAACUUGAGUUGGUGGUGUUAUUGAACUUGAGCUUGUGUUUGAACUUGAGUUUGUGGUUUUUGUUGAACUUGAGUUUGUGUUGUUUUUGAACUUCAGUUUGUGUGGUGUUUUUGAACUUGAAUUUUUGUCGUGUUUCAACUUGAGUUUGUGGCGUGUUUGAAAAUGAGUUUGUGGCAUGUUUGAACUUGAGUUUGUGUU